CGCGCCGCUGGCGGCCGGGCUCGCCGAACCCGGGGCGGGGCGUGCCAGGCCCGAGCGCUCCCUCCACUCCGCACCCCUCGGCCUCUGAGCCGGCCGCGAAGUUGGGGGUUGGGAGGGCAGGUUGGAGGGCAAUGCCCGGGUGAGGUCAGGCGGACUGGACUGCCAGGUGGCGAUGCCCGGGGCGCCCGGGAGCUGGCACCUAGUCUUCUCCCGUCUCUUGAGUCGUUCGUUUUUCCAAUUCCCUCCCCGUCUUCGACCUUUAUUCUCAUUCGAGACGGUUCCAGCCCAACGGCAGCCUCCGAACCCACGUGGGGUGGCGAGAUCCGAAAGUUUCCAGCUACAAUCGGUUUGCUUGCACCCCUACCCCCAGCCUGCGCCUCCCUGAGGGCUUAAUUGUGAAGCCGAAUGUGGGCUCAAGCAUCCCCAGUCUCCUCCCACCUCGAAUAAUCACAUGUUGAAAGGCACACACGGGUGUUUGCAGCUUCGGGAGCAAAGCUGCAGAGGAGGGAGACGGCGCGGACCGUCUGGGAAGCCUGGAGUUGGGACGGAGGUGGAUCUUGCUGAGACUAAGGAGUAACCUCUAAAAGCAGUCGCAGAUGAAAAUGUUAUGUGAAGCGAGUGGCUGAUAAGUAAAUGAAUAAAACUGAACUGGGGGUGGCUGGAGCAAACACAGGCUGCCCGGGAGCCCCAGGCCUGGUCCCUGCAGUCCCACCAGAAGUGACUCCGGUGUGCCGAGUUGGGAGGAGCCGCCAAACAAAGCCAAACAGAAGGAGAAAAGACAUCCUCGUGUCUUCUUGCAACCCCCCUGCCCCCCAAAUAAACCCAAAACCCAUCACACUGUUGCCCUCAAUGGAAGUGUGACUCAGGAGCGGGCAGCACUGCUGAGUCUGGCUCUGCUGGAAAAGGGAAACUAUGGAAUUCACACAUAUUCAUUUAUAGUCUAAAAAUGACACGGUCUCUGUACAACCCCUGCAGAACCCGCGACGAGCUCUUAGCGCUCCUUGGAUGCACUGCCCUGUUCAGAUGCUUCUCCACUAGUGUCCUCUCCUGGACCCAGCCCUUGGUCCUGCAUAGCCUUAAAUCCCUAUUAUCAAAAACAAAAACAAAACAAAAAAAACCACCUCUAUCAUCUGCUUCUCUUGCCUUUAUUCAUUUUGGGGCCACACUUUGUGGUGUUUAGGGCUCAGUCCUGGGGGGCUUGGGGGGGGCCAUACAUGGUGCCAGGGAUGGAACCUAGGCUGGCCGUGUGCACUGCUCUCCGGCCGCCCCGUCACUGCAGUACUACUCUCUGCAGGGCAGAACUGACUGUCCCACUGUCAGGGACCACAGCUCAGCAGGUUUCAGUCACCACCAAAUGUCAUCAAGAAAACGCUUCAAGGCACGUUGGGGGGGGCCCUGAAUAAGGGGGGGCUAGUUCCCAGUGGGGGUCUGGAGACUGGCUGAGGAGGGCUCAGCAGAGCAGAAGGAAGGAUCUGAGAGCAGGAUUAGAGGCUGGGGCAGGGCUGGCAGGCGGAAGAGGAGCCCCAGGCUCCGGAGUGGGGGCGAGGGACGGGGAAGCCCCCAGGGUCAUCUCUCCUGCUCCAACUAGGCCAAGUUCCCCUCCUCUGUGCUGGGGGAGGCUUAUCCGGAACUGCUUGGUGAGGUCUCGCUCGGUUCCCGGAAGGCAGAUUCUAUCUCGGCCCAGGGCAGACGCCACCCUUUGCUGACCCAGACGGGAAGCCCAGACUCAUCUCUCCCUGGCUCCGGUACCAAGUCACUCUGGAACCUCAUGUCAGACCCCUGGGCUCUGCUGGGCUUGUCACCUUUCCAGAUAAUGUGUCGGAGCCUCAGUGAGGGACAUCGCAGAUGGCGAGUGUUCUCCCCAGUGACACGACCCUGGAGUGCGCACAAACGGGAGUUUGGUGAGUCCGGGUUUGGCCUUAAUCUGGUCAUUUUCUUAAAAUGGGAACCAUCCUUACUAGAAGAAUACUUAUUUUUAACUGGGGGGGUGGGAAAGGGGCACCCCUGUGCUUUGGACUCCUCCUGGCGAUGCUUGGAGGCCCAUAUGAAAUGCCGAGUGGGCCGUGGUCAAGGCAAAUGCCCUGCAGAUGUCCUCCCCGCUGUACUAUCGCUCUGGCCCCCUCCGCGGUUCAGUUUUAUGAAACAAACAAGUUCAGUCCUUCUCAUUAUCAAUUUGAGUAUUUUGUCUCAUUACUUUAAACUCUCCUAUUCCAAACUGAGAUGCGGGUCAGAGAUUUGUCCCUAAGGCCAGGCACUUGCCUUGCAUGUGGCCGCGUUGGCAACAACCCUGGUUCAAUUCCUGGCACUGCAUACAGUCGGCUGAGCACUGCCAGGGGUCACUGCUGGGCACAGGAUCAGGAACAACCCCUGAGCACUGCAGGACACGGCCCCAAGGUGCCCCCCGCAAAAAAUACUAGACAGGAAGAGUUAUAUUUCCAGAAAUGACCUCGCUUUACCUCCAAUCA